AAGUCGUAACAAGGUUUCCGUAGGUGAACCUGCGGAAGGAUCAUUAACGUUUAUUUCUAAAUGUUAGGCCUCCCUUGUGUGCACCUGAGUGAAAAAAGGAACAUUUUUUACUUGGACGGGGAUUUCUUUUUUUUUUUCUUUUCUUUCUUUCUUUUUCUUUUUCUUUUUCUUUUUUUUUUUUUUUUCUCUCCAAGAAAAGAAAAGAAAAGAAAAGAAAAAAUAAAAACAAGAAAAAAAGGAAAGGGAAGAAAACCGUCCGAUAAAAAAUAAAAAUAAAAAUUUAUUAAAAUGAAAGACACAAAAACCAAACAAAUAAAAAAAAACAAAAUUUUAAAAAAUAACUUUCAACAACGGAUCUCUUGGUUCUC
rnacentral:misc_RNA from 1 species